GCGCCUGUAGCUCAGAAGGAUAGAGCAACGGAUUUCUAAUCCGUCGGUCGGGGGUUCGAUUCCCUCCAGGCGCGCCA
rnacentral:tRNA from 3 species